GCGAGGGUAGCCCAGCCAGGUCAAAGGCGUUGGACUUAAGAUCCAAUAACGUAGGUUUUCGUGGGUUCGAAUCCCACCCCUCGCA
rnacentral:tRNA from 1 species